rnacentral:snRNA from 1 species
AUAUCUUUCUCGGCCUUUUGGCUAAGAUCAAGUGUAGUAUUUGUUCUUAUUAGUUUAAUAUGUGAGUCAUUGACUCACACGAUAUUAACUCUAUUUUUUAGGGCAAGGUCCAUCAUGGUAGCUUUCACUAUGACCUUGUCCUGGUGCACCCCACCAAUUAUAU